rnacentral:rRNA from 1 species
UACGUAGGUGGCAAGCGUUAUCCGGAUUUAUUGGGCGUAAAGGGAACGCAGGCGGUCUUUUAAGUCUGAUGUGAAAGCCUUCGGCUUAACCGGAGUAGUGCAUUGGAAACUGGGAGACUUGAGUGCAGAAGAGGAGAGUGGAACUCCAUGUGUAGCGGUGAAAUGCGUAGAUAUUAGGAGGAACACCAGUGGCGAAGGCGGCCUGCUGGACGACAACUGACGGUGAGGCGCGAAAGCGUGGGGAGCAAACAGG